rnacentral:tRNA from 1 species
GGCACGGUACGCAAAUUGGCAAAGCGAUCAGGUCGAGAGCCUGGUGUCUGUGGGUUCGACUCCCUCCCGUGCUA